rnacentral:rRNA from 1 species
CGGCGGCCAAAACUGCCAGUCGAGCGGAUGACGGGAGCUUGCUCCUUGAUUCAGCGGCGGACGGGUGAGUAAUGCCUAGGAAUCUGCCUGGUAGUGGGGGACAACGUUUCGAAAGGAACGCUAAUACCGCAUACGUCCUACGGGAGAAAGCAGGGGACCUUCGGGCCUUGCGCUAUCAGAUGAGCCUAGGUCGGAUUAGCUAGUUGGUGGGGUAAUGGCUCACCAAGGCGACGAUCCGUAACUGGUCUGAGAGGAUGAUCAGUCACACUGGAACUGAGACACGGUCCAGACUCCUACGGGAGGCAGCAGUGGGGAAUAUUGGACAAUGGGCGAAAGCCUGAUCCAGCCAUGCCGCGUGUGUGAAGAAGGUCUUCGGAUUGUAAAGCACUUUAAGUUGGGAGGAAGGGCAGUAAGUUAAUACCUUGCUGUUUUGACGUUACCGACAGAAUAAGCACCGGCUAACUCUGUGCCAGCAGCCGCGGUAAUACAGAGGGUGCAAGCGUUAAUCGGAAUUACUGGGCGUAAAGCGCGCGUAGGUGGUUUGUUAAGUUGGAUGUGAAAGCCCCGGGCUCAACCUGGGAACUGCAUCCAAAACUGGCAAGCUAGAGUACGGUAGAGGGUGGUGGAAUUUCCUGUGUAGCGGUGAAAUGCGUAGAUAUAUGAAGGAACACCAGUGGCGAACGCGACCACCUGGACUGAUACUGACACUGAUGUGCGAAAGCGUGGGGAGCAAACAGGAUUAGAUACCCCUGGUUAGUCCACGCCCGUA